AGGCAGCUCACAUGGUCCUCUCUCCUCCAUCUUAUCUUCACAACAACCCUGUGAGGAAGGCUAGACUGAGAGUGAGCGUCUGGCCAGAGAAUGCAGGUUCUUCAUGGCCGUGUGGGGAUUUGAACCCGGAUCUCCUGAGUCCCAAUCCAGCACUCAAGCCAGUCUGCCACACUGCGUCUUGAUGUAUUGGAGUGAGAAGAAAAGAAAGGUUACUUCUUCUGUCCUGGGACUCUGCACCCUUUGGCCGCAUCUCCCAUGAUAUCCCAGUACUCCCCAAACUGCAGUUUGGCCUCGUCAUUAUCUCCGAGACACUCAAUCUUCUCAUCCAGCGUCCCGACACCCUGCAUUGAGAAGAGAGAGCCAUCAAAACUCAGCAGAGGGACCAUGGACCCGGCAAUGUCUUCUUCUGGUCUACAGAAGGUCUACAGAACCUGUCUACCACAACAUAGGUAUGAGAGGACCUUUUCAAUGGUGAACCCGAAGCAGAGUGACCACCUGUCCUCUAGGACUGAGAGUAAUCCUCUGUUUUGAAGGAUUCCUCCAGGUGGAAGACUGUCCAGUCCCUGUCGGGUUUAAAAAUAAAGGACCAUCGGAAGGAACAGUUGGACCUUGAAGCUGCCGAUCCACAACACCUGGACUGCAGACAGAGCAAGGGAGCCUGGAUAUUUCCCGAUGCCCUUUCCAGUCUUUUCUUCUUCCCCAAAGCGACAGGAAACCGGAUCUACCUGAUGCUUUCCUGUUCCAUCUGAGCGAACCAGCGCGUUUUGUCCCAUUCACUCAUAUGGCGCAAGAGCAAAUGCAGCAGCCGUCAAACCCCAAACGCACAGGUGAGCAGGUACACGAUCGCUUACAAUCGCCUCCUGACCUGAGGAGGUUCAAUCUGGCACCUUCUGGAUGUUUGGACUAAAUUCCUACUAGCCUCAGCCGGCACGGCCAAUGGUCGUGGAUGAUGGGAGUUUCCAUCCAAAACUUCUGGAGUGUGCCGGGUUGCCCACCCCUCAUUUUGGAUGUAGGGCAAUGUAGGCAUGAAGCCCCCCAGCUUUGCUCCCCACCCCCACGGCUGCCUCGCGCCACCUGAUGGAUUGGCCGGGUUGCUCUCCUCACCUUGGACAAAUGCGGGAGCCUCUGACCCACCAGCUCC